rnacentral:lncRNA from 1 species
CAGGAGUCAAGCUCCCCACUCCCCUGGUCUACUUGGCCCUGGCACAGCUGAUUAAGCUGUUUACAACUUGCUGCGCUGUCUCCAGAGGCUGCCCCUUGUCCCUCCCUUGGGGACCCCUCAUAGUGUAUUCACAUCAACAGAUUUUAAUUAGAGGGUACCCCACCCAAUCCCAAUCCCUCUUGCCUCGGGGCCCUGGUUCUUCCAGAGGCCAGGGCCUUGCUGGGCUGGCCACACACCAGAGAGCACGCCCUGAAGAACCGUUAGGGCUGCUCCACUGAUGGGCUCCAUUCCCAGUUAGACAGGAAACCAGAAGACACAGACCAGAGCCCAAGCAGGGAAGCCUCCUGAAGGCUUCUGGCAGCCUGGCAGACAGUGCCCAGCAGGGCCAGCCUCCAGGGUAGGCCUCUGACCUGCACACAGGCCCAAAGGUCUGGGGUGACAAUGCACUGCCCCUUGCUAGUCUCAGUGUCCCUGAGCAGAUGCCUUCGGCUCCUGCUCGACGCUUUGCUAGCCAUGGUCAGAUAGCUGCAGUAGCCCUGGGGCGCCGCAUCCACCCACGGCCCUGAUCCUUCCCAGCCUGGCCGUGGCUGC